rnacentral:misc_RNA from 1 species
GCAAACUUGGUCAUUUAGAGGAAGUAAAAGUCGUAACAAGGUUUCCGUAGGUGAACCUGCGGAAGGAUCAUUAAUGAGUUAGGGUCUUCUAGGCCCGACCUCCCAACCCUUUGUUUACUUGACCUCAGUUGCUUCGGCAGGCCCGUCUUAAGCUGACCGCUGGAGGACCGCUCAAUGCGGGCGUUGCCUCUGGCCAGUGUCUGCCGAUAGCCUAAUCUCCUAACUCUGGAUCAAUCAUGAUUUACAAUGUCUAAGUGAUUUUAUUCAAUUAAAAGCAAAAACUUUCAACAACGGAUCUCUUGGUUCUGGCAUCGAUGAAGAACGCAGC